AAGCAGAAUCUGCAGCAGAUAGUUCUGAUGAAGUAGAUGACACCAUAAAUGAAAUCACUGAACUCGAAAGAGAUCUUGACCAGCUGAAUAUUGAGCUCACAGAGGACCUUGACAAUAUUCUAGCAUUACUGAAUACUGAUGAUUUGGCUAUAAAUGAGGACGAAAUGA